rnacentral:rRNA from 1 species
UACAGAGGAUGCAAGCGUUAUCCGGAAUGAUUGGGCGUAAAGCGUCUGUAGGUGGCUUUUUAAGUCCGCCGUCAAAUCCCAGGGCUCAACUCUGGACAGGCGGUGGAAACUACCAAGCUGGAGUACGGUAGGGGCAGAGGGAAUUUCCGGUGGAGCGGUGAAAUGCGUAGAGAUCGGUAAGAACACCAACGGCGAAGGCGCUCUGCUGGGCCGACACUGACACUGAGAGACGAAAGCUAGGGGAGCGAAUGGG